GCAUAGGGCAGUUGUAUACACUUGCUUAUUUAUUCAGGUAUUCAUCUAUUCCAUACGUAUGUGUUGAGAUAGUACUGCGAAUCAGUCUUGCUGAUGGAUUGAAUGUGGAGAGUCUGAGAAAGGGAAAACAUCAAACACUACCCUUAGGUGUCUGGCUGGAUUAAUGAGUUAGAAAUGGGGUAGUUGCUCACUUACUGAGAGACAGAGGAAGGAGAUGUUUUAGAGGCUGGAGAGUAGGAAUCAAGAGUUGGGUUUGGAGCCUACUAAGAGGUGACCUGUAUGUGAUUGGACGUGCAUAUCUAAUGUUUAAUUGAGUGAUCAGGGCUGCUAAUUCAGGAGUCAUGAUCAUACAGACAGAGUAUUAAGCUGUUGGACUAGAUUGGGGCACCUGGGGAAUAGGUGUAGUUUUAGAUGAGAAGGUCUAGGACUGAGGGCUGGUCAUCCCCCUAUUUUGUGUUAAGAAGAGAAGGAGCAUCCUGCAAAGAAGUUGGAAAAGGAGCAGCCUGAAAGUUUGCACAGGAACAGCAAUUCAUUUCAAAGUGCAGGCCAGUGCCAACAGGGGAGAGUGGGCAGAGAAAUCAAAUGAAAAUGCCAAAACGCUGACUACAAGGCCAGUUUGCAUCAUGUGAACCACUUUGGAGCCUGAGGACUGAAACUAAAAAUAUGCUUCUGUUCAGAGGUGGCUAACAGCAUCAAUUACUAGUGUUAUUAUUGUUAUCGUCAUCAUCACCACCAUCAUUCGUCUCAUAAAUUUAAAGCUAGCUGAUGUGUGAUGAGCUGCCAUGUAUCAAGGAACUGAUGUCUUCAGCCAACAAACAGCUAGAAUCUGAGGGGCUGAAAUAGCCACAGGGGUGAGCUUGGAAGUCGGUACUUAUUGUCUGAAUCAAGACUUAAGAUGACUACAGCCUUGGCAGACAUCGAGAACCUGAGCCAACGGACCCAGCUAAGUUACUCCCAGAUUUCUGGUCUACAGAAUUCCUGUGAUAAUAUUAAUAUGUGUUUAUUGUUUUAAGCUGCUGAAUUUGGGGGUGGGUUGUCACAUAGGCAUAGAAAACUGAUACAGUUGGAAAUAAUUUUGAAAGGAGAAAGGCAUAGUAUGAAAUCUGAUUCUGUAGUAUGGAGGGGUUUGAAAGACUGGCAAAACAAUUUGGACAUGGUACAGAAGCCAUUGAAAGCUCUCUCUCUCUCUCUUAUAGAUUUAUGGGGACACAAUUCACAUACAACGUAAUUGUCAUUUAAAAUGUACAACUCACUGGUUUUUAGUAAGUUAUCAGAGUUGUGAAAUCAUCGCGACAAGUUAUUUUCAUACACUUUGAUCUGCCCCCAAACAAAUCCCAUACCAAUGAGCAGUCAUACCCCAUUUUGUCCCAAGCCCUAGGCAACUUCUCUACUUUUCAUGUCCAACAAAUUUUCCUAUUCUGGACACUUCAGACAGAGUAAUAAAAUACGUGGCUUUUUGUCUCUGCUUCUUUUA